GACUUACCUGCAGAACUCAUCACGGCAGGUGAAGAACUAUGGAUCAGUUUGCAGGUUGGCCGGGCAUCUUCUCCCUCCAGAGGCUGAGCUAUGGAUGACUCGGAGCUGCCUUCAUCUAAGUCUUCAUAGUACCUCUGAGAUAGGAAGGCUGACCGGGACAGGCUGGCUGCAGAAGGCCCACCCCAAAACAACAUUAGACAACUCAAAGCAAACCCAGAAGCGGUGCCAUUUCAGUGCUAAGAGAGACAGACCACAAAGCACUUUCAUUAUCUUAUACCUUAGGUGGAAGCCGCUAUUGCUGAAUGUGAAUAAUGAUAAUUUGUGGUCUUUGCUCAAAACUAAGCUUUGAAAACUAAGUUGCUAGGACAAAGACAGCUUUGACCAUCAGACAAGACUGAAAAUGAGAGCAAUAGUCAACACUGGUAGAAAAACAAGAGAUUAAGUUCUCACAGCGAACAGACGGUGUCAGAGGCCAGCUCCCGGGGCAGGCUAGUUAGCCACAGCAUCACCCCUGCUUUCCAACCUCAGAACACCGGAGUGAGAGGGCCUAA
rnacentral:lncRNA from 1 species